CAGGCGUCUAAGGUAAACUUCCAUUACCUUACUGAUGAGUCCAGUAUUGGAAGCCGGGACGAAACGCCAA
rnacentral:hammerhead_ribozyme from 15 species